rnacentral:rRNA from 1 species
GACGAACGCUGGCGGCGUGCUUAAUACAUGCAAGUCGAACGGAAAGGCCCUGCUCUUGUGGGGUGCUCGAGUGGCGAACGGGUGAGUAACACGCGAGUAACCUGCCCCUGUCUUUGGGAUAACUUUAGGAAACUGGGGCUAAUAUCGGAUAGGAGCUCCUGCUGCACGGUGGGGGUUGGAAAGUGUCGGCGGUUGGGGAUGGACUCGCUGCUUAUCCGCUUGUUGGUGGGGUAGUGGCUUACCAGGGUUGCGACGGGUAGCCGGCCUGAGAGGGGGACCGGGCACAUUGGGACUGAGAGAGGGCGCAGAAUCCAACGGGAGGCAGCAGGGGAAAGUAUUACGGAGUAGGCGGAAGCGUGAUACGGAGGCGCCGCGUGCGGAAUAACGGCCUUCGGGUUGUAAACCGCUUUCGACUGUGACGAGGCGUGAGUGACGGUAAUGAGUAAGAAAGCACCGGCUAACUACGUG